UGGAUAAACCAUAUAAUGAAUAACAUAUAUUGUAACUAUUCUUGUAAUUUAAACAUAUUUAUAUGUUGCAUUUAAAAAUAAUUCUAGUAAUAACACAUUAAGCAUGACUCAUAUGUUAAAAUCCUUCUCAAGUAAUAUAUAAGAGAUGAAACAAUCAAAAUUAAUUCAUUAACAAAAUAUUUCCAUGUUUUAAGUAGAAUUUAAUGGAUUAUAUCAAAAAGACAUUAAAUCUAAUACCAAUAAAAUUGAAUAACACAAAAAUUAAACAUAAUUUAAACUAAAAUGUCCGCCUCUCCAUAUAAAUUUCCAAACACAUUAAACCAAACUCAAA
rnacentral:lncRNA from 1 species